AGCAGCAUGGCGCAGUCUGGAAGCGCGCGGGGCCCAUAUUGUCAUGCAAUACGCCACCCCGAGGUCACUCGAUCGAAACGAGUUGCUGCUA